UACGGGGGGAGCAAGCGUUGUUCGGAUUUACUGGGCGUAAAGGGCGCGUAGGCGGUCAGCACAAGUCAGUUGUGAAAUCUCCGGGCUUAACUCGGAAAGGUCAACUGAUACUGUGCGACUAGAGUGCGGAAGGGGCAACUGGAAUUCUCGGUGUAGCGGUGAAAUGCGUAGAUAUCAGGAGGAACACCGGCGGCGAAAGCGCGAUACUGGGCCAUAACUGACGCUGAGGAACGAAAGCCAGGGGAGCGAAAGGG
rnacentral:rRNA from 1 species